rnacentral:rRNA from 1 species
UACGUAGGGAGCAAGCGUUGUCCGGAAUCAUUGGGCGUAAAGCGCGCGUAGGCGGCCCUGUAAGUCCGCUGUGAAAGUCAAAGGCUCAACCUUUGAAAGCCGGUGGAUACUGCAGGGCUAGAGUCCGGAAGAGGCGAGUGGAAUUCCUGGUGUAGCGGUGGAAUGCGCAGAUAUCAGGAGGAACACCAAUAGCGAAGGCAGCUCGCUGGGACGGUACUGACGCUAAGGCGCGAAAGCGUGGGGAGCGAACAGGA